rnacentral:lncRNA from 1 species
UCUCAACUGUUGAGAUAUAAGGUUACCUUUCUGUCUUUGUAACUUCCAGAUCUUCAUAAAAGGAAAUCGCAAAAUUAAAAUUUCAACCAUAAAGGUGAAAGAAUUGUGUAAAAUAAGCUCUGAAGUUUCCUUAAAAUCUAACAUUUUAUAUUGUAGAUGACCAGUAGGUUUUAGAUUAUUGCACUGGAUAUUAACAUUUUAAUUCUUCCAAUUUGUUGGAUACUUAGCCGAACAAUUUAUAUUGAAAAUAACAAGAGAUUUUAAAAUCAUGUAUAUCUGACUUACCCUUUGGCUUGGAGAAACAGACACAGGUCAAUUAUAGAUUAUUCAUUUGUUAUUUUAAUUAAAUUAUAUGGACUGUGGCUUGCUAAUGCUCAAGACAGAAAAUGAAAGUGUUUUCUGCCCUUUUCCCUACACUAAGGGAUUAUUGAGAUAAUGACCUAAUAGUCUGGGUUGUGUAUAUGUCAGAAAAACUUCAUUUUAUUAAUAAGUGAUACUACAGAUACUGCCCAUUUAUUAUAUUGAUAGCAGCUGUGGAUAUGAGAAGAGUGGACCUAUAUAUGUCCAUAUAUAGGUAUAACCAAUAUAUAUGUAUAACAUAUAUAUGUCCAUAUAUAUGUAUAACCAAACCACAGGUGUUUUUUUGGAAGUCAUAUUAUACAGGGAGUUGACAGAGGUGUGAGCUGGACUUUAAGAAGCUGCACAUAAGAUGCUAGUAUGAUCAAGCUGGAAUGGACUUAGACAAUUUGAAACAACUUUUCUCAGUUUUCAGAUGAGGAAACUGACGGGUACCAAGCUUAAAUGACUUGACGAAGCUCAUAGAAGAUUAGCAGGUAGUAGAAUAAUGACUGCUGACUCCUAAUUCAGUGGAUCUUCCCUGGCCACCGUUUUGUAUUGAGCUGCAAUGCUUCCUUGACUGUUCUCCAUGCCAGAUUCUUAUCAAUGAUCUUUCACCUAAGAAACAGCAAAGAUUCUGGCAAGCACACGAUCUAGAGAUACAUCUUAUUGCGAUUUUUCACAAAAAUCAAAAGAAGAAAGAAGGCUUAGCUGGUGUUUAAUUAUUGUUAUUUUUUUCAAUAGGGAAAUCUGUACACAAUGAUUUAUCUCCAGUGAUUUGCCAUUGAUCAAUUUUUUUCUCAUUUCAUUUUCUAUUUUUUUGUUUUUUGUUUUUCUUUAUUUUUUAUUUUUUUCUCCUUUUUCUUUUUUUAAAUUUUCUGUUUAUCACAAAUGAUCAUGUAAUUAUAUGUUAAUACUAUGUAACCCCAGUGUUUUCAACUGUUUGUGAUUCAAUGUUACCCAGUUUUCUUUUCUUAAUUUUAAAUAAAUUUGAAAAAUUAUCUUAGAGUGUUUUGAGCCUGUGUUGGUACAUUUAGUUCUAGUUCAUUGUGGUAAAUCCACUUCAGUUUCUAAGUUUCCACCCUUUAGUAAAGACAUAUUUCUAAAUUUGGUUUAUAUCCUCAGUUACAAAAGAUUCUAACUGCUAGUUUUGUGACAGCAAUCACACAUACCAUCAAGGGAUGGGGCAGGCAGUUUUGGAAUGUGCUGAUGCUAGCAUUUUUAUAAGCCUAUGGCUUUUAUAGUCUAAAUUGUUCUUAUUUCUAUUAAUGCUUCAAUUUUUGACAAACACACAACCAUAGAAACAAAUAAUAAAUUUGUUUUUUGGGAAUUAUCCAGGAUUCUUGGUUAAGUGGGGAAUUUAGGCUUUGACAGCAUAAAGGAUCACGGAUAAGUAUUUUUCACGGUGGCUCUAAUUAUAAUGCUGAGCAUGUGGCAGGCACAGAAAUAUUUACUCAUUGACUGAAUAUAGCACAUCGUAAUGUUGAUUUUUUUCCAACAUAAUUUUAGAGCUAGGCAUAUUGUAUUCUAUUACACUAGACUAUAUAUCAUUCUUAAAUAGAACCAGCCUUGCUAGAUAACACAUGUUGGAGGAGAGGCCCUUCUUCUUAGCCCUCAGUGUUUCCAUCUAUGGGGAAGAAGUUCCACCAUACUAACAUUACUAUCGUCUCUCCACCUGCUCACUCACUUCUCCCCAAGGGAGGGGUGUUCGAUAUGGUUUCUGAGCUUGGAAAGAAAACUCAGGCAUGUGUAACAUGGUUCCUUCAGUCCCAUGACCCACUGUCCACAAAUGGGCUGCUCACAGAGUGCAUGCCUUCACCCUUGUUCCUGGCCAUGCAGGAAAUUGUAUGAAACAGUCCUAGCUGAAGCCUGAGAUUUUCCUGCAUUGCCUAGUCCUGGUGGGUAUCUGUCUACUCCUGGAGUUUGGAUUGGAAAGUCCACAUGCCUGAAGGUAUAAACCUAUUCUACAAAGGGGUGUUUUCUAGAAUGAAGGUAAUAUUUUUAUCUUACAUUUGCAGAAAGAGACAGAACAAUGUUAUAGGUGAGUGCAUGGACAAUGACCUCAAACAGCUAAGAUUCAAACCCCUGCGUUGAAUGAUUGAAUUGAAAUGAUUCAAUGAGCUAAUGUACAUAAAGCAUCCAGAAUGUUGCCUGGCACAAGGUAAAUGCUCUACAAAUGUCUGAUAUUAAUGUUAGCCUUUUGUUUCCCCGUUCAGUUGGUUCAGAACGUAGACAUUAUGUACUGGCUCUGCCUCACACCUCAAUAACAGAGAUUUCUUAAAGAAUAACUUAUAAACUCUUUUCAACUUCAAAUCACUCCGUGAUUAGGCUUAUCUUAUACCUUACUAGUUCUUAGCACCAGAAUUAUUUUUCCAAUUGUAGAACUAAUCAUGUUUCUCUGAAAUUCUUAAUUCGUGCAGACCUCUCAGUGGGGCUUCAAACUCUCACAGUCAGACCUCAGCAUACGUUUCCAGCCUUGUCUUCCUUACACACUGUGCUUUGGCACGAGUCUACCAUUGCUCACGGUUCCUGAAUCACAUGCAGUCUUCACACCAUGCAGCUUUGCUCUUUCUGCUUUGAGGGCUUUCCCCCUGCUCUGCUUGAUAGAUCAGAGCCCACCCUUCAUGGCCCAGCUCACAGGCCUACUCCUUUGUGAAACCUUUUCUUCUUACUCCCCAUUCAUGGAGGCCUCAUCUGUUGUGAAAGCAAAAGAACAUCUCAUUGCUGCUGUAACCCUUACUCACUUGAAUUUUAUGAAAAUUACGUGAACUCUGAGCUUCUGAAGGUCUUGGCCAGAGGGUCAGGUUCUCUUUACUUUUGUAUACUCAUCUCACCCAGCCCCUAACACAGUGACUUGCUCUUCAAUGAUUACCCAAGUAUGAGUCCAUCAAGGAAUUCUAUCAGAGUCUUUUCCAAAAUACCAACCAAACACAUCUACCUCUUUCCAUCUCCAUCUGAUCACCAUUAUCUCUGACUGGGUCUACUGUGGAAGCCUCCUAAAUUUUCUCCCUGCCUCUGUGCUGGCCCUAAUUUGGGUUAUUCCCUAAAUGGCCAUUGGAAUAAUGGAGUUAAGAUAUAAACCAAAUUAGGUUACCUCCCCACAUAAUACUGAAACCUCAAUUUUGAUCUUUCUGCACCUGCCCCUCUUUCACAUCUCAUAUUUUAUAAUCCCCCAUCUGCACCCUCACUCACUGAACUCUACUGACACUUCUCUCCUUUUCUCCUUUUGGUUUCUCAGACAGCCCAAACUUUUCUCAACCUCAGUCUCCUGCACACUCUUUUCCUUCUCCAUGAAAUGCUUAAGUCUUAACUUUUUUUUUUUUUUUUGACAGGGUCUUGCUCUGUCUCCCAGGCUGGAGUGCAAUGGCAUGAUCAAAGUUCACUGCAGCCUUGACCUCCUGGGUUCAACCAAUCCUCCUUCCUCAGCCUCUCACGUUGGUGGGACCACAGGCAUGCACCACCAUGCCCAGCUAAUUUUAAUUAUUUUUUUUUAGAGACAGGGUGUCACCAUCUUGCCCAGGUUUGUCUAGAAUUUCUGUGCUAAAGUGAUCUUCUCACCUUGGCCUCCCAAAGUGCUGGGAUUACAGGCCAUGAGCCAUGAUCUAGGCCAUGACUAGAUAUUGUUGUCCUUUAAGUUUCAGAUUACAAACCUCCUCCUAAGACACCCCGGCCCUCAGUCUAAGUUGAACACCCCCUCUGCGUAAUUCAUUAUACUGUGUAGUUGUAACCCUCAGAGCCUCAUUGUUUUUUUCACUGCAUUCAUAAGGAUUGGUAACAAUCUUUCUUCAGUGUGGGUUUUCCAAUGGUAUUAUCUGUUUUCUCCACUAGGCUAAAACUCCAUGAUGGCAGGAAUGAAGCCCAUCUUGUUAUCACUGUGUCCUGAGAAAUGAGCACAAACAGGAUGCAUGAGAGAACUGUGCUCAGUAAAAAACAGUUCACAGAUAGACUCUGAGGUCUUAAAAAUUCUCCAAGCAGAAACAGGACCCAGAGAGUACCUGGUUAAAGUCCUUCAUUUUACAAAGGGGAAAAUCAAGAUCCAGGACUUGUAAUGAGUUCUCCUAAUGCCCCAAGUCAGUGUCUGCCCAAAGGUCUCUGGUUUUUAGGGUAUCCUUCAUUAUCAAGUUCUCUUGCUUUAGGCUUCUGGAAACUAGCCAAUAACUGUAGAUUAUUAAUAAAGUAAUAUAACAGGAAAAUCAAAUGCUUCCUACACAACCUUUCACUGAGAAAUGAAAGCAAAGCCUAAGGAAAUGCCAUCUGACUAAUUUCUAACCAAUGCAAAUCUUCUCUCUUAGUCACCCCUAACAAAAAUGUCAAUGUUCUAUAAGCACAGUGAGAGGUGCCAAGGCCCAAGGCAGCUUUUUAGAUCUGCUCUGCCUCACAGAAGGGUCUAGGAUCUACUGCACAGUGGAGUGGCUCAGAGUUGCACUUGUUUAUUGGGCAAAUAGAGAAAAUCCAGAACCUUCAACAAACACCCUCUUUCUUCUAUGCCGUGGAGGGUUUUCUACCAUUAUCUGUGGCAUAUUUGUUAAUUGGUUGCCUUUAUUCAUGUUCCUGCUUCUUUUCCUCUUCAAGCCUCAAUGUUGUCAUCUCUAAAAUAGAGUGAUUGAUAUUGGCAGUCUUUUUAGCCUUGGCAUUCUUUGACCAGGAUUCUCCAAACAGAAACAAGAUCUAGAGAGUACCUGGUCCUGUUUCUGCUGUACAGUUAGUUCUCAACUUCAAAGGAUAAAUAUGAUUUGCUGAGCACAUUACUUAGGAUCUACCAUGCAUGGGAAAUUAGAUAAUCAUUUCAGCUCCUAAUUGCAUCCUCUAUUGUCCUGAGCAAGUAUAAGAUGCUGGUGAAUCCUGGAGCUAACACUUAGGUUUUCUGUUCCUUAGGACUGUAUUGUCUGCUAGACCAUUUAUUCAAAGUGGGAGGAUGAUGUUCUAAAAGCCAAUGAUAAAGCUCAUGGCAAUGCAGGGUAUAUCUGAUGGCAUGGAAUGCUUUAGGAUGGCCAAGAUUGCCCAUCAAAUGCCAAGUCACCGAAGGUACUCAUUUAUUCUAAAAAUAUCCACUAAGCAACCCUUUCUAAUAUGUGUUGUUCUAGGUUCUGGGAAAUAAGAAAUCAUUAGAAAAAGAUUUCUGCCUUCUAGAAGUACACAGUCUAAUGGUGAGAUAGGCAGGUAAGCUAUUACAACACAGUGAGAUAUGCACACGAGUAAAGCUGUUUUUCUUUGGUGUGCUCACAGUAAAGGGUAUAACUAACUCCAUCUGUGGGCUUCAGAAAGGGCUUCCCAGAGGAGGAUAUUUGAACUAGCUCUUGAAGGAUGAGAAAGAGUUUGCUUCAUAGAGAUAAAGGAGAGGAUAACAGCAGGUAGCAAAGCAGCAGUACACAAAGGUACUGAGUCCAGGCCUGGUCUCCUUUGGAAAUGGAGGAGGAGUAUAAGAGAAUUUUGUGGUAACAUCAGUAAGGAAAAAGAUGAAGGAGGGAGAGUAGAAAUGAGGCUGGAUGGGCGGUUUUGGAGGCCAACUGAGGAGGGUCUUACAUGCUAUGUUAACAGGCCUAGACUUCAUUCUAUAUGCAAACAGGGAGAUCCGGACUAAUGAGGGGUAUGUGUGUGUCCUUGUAUGUGCAUGUGCACGAAGGUGACAUAAUCAGGUAUGACUUUUAGAUGAUACUUGGUGACAAAGGAAGGGUGGAGAAUGUAAACUAGAGAAGCCUGGGAUAAUAUGGCUGCUUGGGAAUGGUGAGAAUUCUGGCAGCUGCAUUGCUGAUGAGUAAAGUGGAGGGAAGCUUUGGAAAAGUGUUUAGGGCCAAUCAGUAGAAGGUCAUACAUUCAUACUAAAGGGUUUGUUUCAAUAAGUAUAGCUAAAGAAUCCCACUCAUAGCUUUUUUUCCUGUGGUUUACAUGACAGUUAUUAAUGGCUCUCCUACUAGGAGCCUGACAUCAUGGUGAGCAUCGAGAAAGGAAUAACCUAAGCUGAAGACACGCCUUUUCAGGAGGCCAAGUUCCACGUUCUGUGCAUGCUUUUGGCGAAAGUCAGGUAAAGCCUCCAGAAAUGCAUGGUCUAUUCUCUCGGACCAUAUGGCUGUGGGCAAACUCUGGCUUCUUGGAGCCUCCAUUAGCCACCUAGGGAAAGGUAAUUGGCUUUAUGUUUGGCUCCAUCACUGCUGGCGACAAGCUCCACUGCAUUCUCAAGCAGUAGAUGAAAUACAACUGUGCUCCUGAAUGCAGCAAAGGAAAGAGAACCCAACUGGACCAGUGUGAAAUUGGGACCUUUGGAGGCAAGAAUGCACAUAUUUAUAAAUGAAUAAACAUAAUUUUUCUCUCUUCUUCCCAUUGGCAGCAUAUCUGAAGGCCCUGACUCAACAGUAGUGGGUCUUAAUGCUUGUGCUUGUCCACCCUUCUCGGCAGUGAUUGAUUUCAUUGUUGGCUUGUUUUCAUGACUUGAAUGUGCGAUCUUCAGAGGGCCUAAUUCCUUGCAAGUUCCAUUUGAGGGUGGAAGAGCUAGAACAAGCUAUAACCAGUAGACAACUCCGUGACUCAGGAGCUUAAGCAUGUGACUAAUUAGUAAGAAAAAAUGUGGUGAAGAUUUGUAGUUAAUAAGAAGGAAAGAAGAAUCACUGGGGCUAGAAUUAUGCAAGCUUUUGUUUCCUUUUGGGACUAUAUCAGAACUAUGAGAGAAGAAAGGCUACCUUUUACCUUUGAGGAAUUUUCAAAGCCUUUUUUUUUUUUUUUGGUUGGUUUGUGACUGACAAAGGGCACAAUUUCAACACCUCAGAAAAAUGCCUCAUCAUUUCCUCUUGUGAAAUCUGGGUGCUUCUGAAUGAAUCCAUGUUAGGAAUGUGUACUUCCAUCCAUUAAAGUCAAUGUCCAGUCUCAUUUUGGGCCAGAGGCUGUUACUAAGUUGUAGUACUGGUGAGAAAAGGACAGAGCAUUUACCUUCCCUGGGUAUCCUGUGACCUACAUGUGUCCUUGCAAGGCAGGGAAAUGUUACUAAUUAAGAGCAUAGCCUUUCGUCAGAUGGGUUCAGAUCCUAACACAUCCUCUUUCUGGUUACAGGACAGUCCUCUCUGAGCCUCAGUUUUCUCAUCUCUAAGAUGAGGCUAAUUAUACCUACUUCCCAGGGGGGUACUAAGGAUAAAGUAACAACACAAGAAAAUUUUUUAUCCUUGAUUUUCUUAGCUGGAAAAUUAGGCUAGAAAGACCUCCAUCCUUGGGGUAUUUAAAAUAAAAGGACAAACAUAUGAUGAGUCUAAGUGAUCAAUACAUUGUGGCUUUUGUACUUACUAUUCUGAAACAUGGGUGUGGCCUAGAUACUUUCCAAAAUUCUGCCCUCUCCACCUAGCAAAAUGACAACCAGACUUACAGAUAUGCCAACAAGCUAGUGUUUAAUAAUGGUGUUUGAUGAUAAAUGGCAUUUCUUUUCGACAUUUGUCUCUUUUUAAAACUUGGUGCUCUUAAAUGCAUCAUUGGAUAAGUGAUGACUGUUCCCAUUCGCAAGAAGAGACCUGGAAUCUAAGCAUGAAGGACCUGUCCUGAUGUUGAGAAGUGUGGAUCACAUUUAUUUGUAAACUUAGCUUCUUGCUCGUCUCAUGGUUGCUUUUUUUUCUUUUUCCUUUUUCUUUUUUUUUUUUUUUUUUUUUUUUUUUUUUUUGAGAGGGAGUCUCACUCUGUCACCCAGGCUGGAGUGCAGUGGUGUGAUCCCGGCUCACUGCAACCUCCACCUCCCGGUUUCAAGCAAUUCUCCUGCUUCAGCCUCCCCAGAAGCUGGGAUUACAGGCACGUGCCACCAUACCCGGCUAACUUUUUUUUUUUUUUUUUUUUUUUUUUGGGAUUUUUAGUAGAGAUGGGGUUUUGCCAUAUUGGUCAGGCUGGUCUCGAACUCCUGACUUCGUGGUCCGCCCACCCGCCUCAGCUUCCCAAAGUAUUAGGAUUACUGGCGUGAGCUACCGCGCCUGGCCUUAUGGUUUUUCUCAUUUUUUCUUCCCUUCCUCCCUCGAUUCCUUUGUUCCUUUUACUCUACCAUGCCUACUGUAAAGAAUAAACAAUAGAUUGGAUCUACUCUCAAGAUGCAGGAUAGAGAAAACCAUCAUUUAUUAAAUGGCAUCUACACCGCAGGCUUUGUACCAGGCACACACUCCACUGUUCCCAGUUAUCCCUUACUGCACCCCUAGAGGUAUAUGUUUUCCCAGAAAAGAUAAACAAGUUGCCCAAAGUCACAUAUCACAUAGCUAGCAAGCGAACAUGGGGCUGAAAUAAAACACUGCCCAAUUCCAAAAUCCAUAUACUUGUUUCUUCAUGUUUCCCUAUGAAAAUGGCAAAGGUGAGGAGUGUGUGGUGUGUGUGCGUGUGCGCGUGCAUGUGCGUGUGUGUUUGCACAUGGAAAAUUCCAAAUAUCACAACUUCUCUAUAGACACUAGACUCAUUCUUUGGCUAUGGCUGUGUCCGUUAUCCCAAACUCUAUCUUUACCCCAGUUUUUACACUUGCAAAAGUAGAGAAACUUUAAGGUCCACCAGCUUUUACUAACCUCCCUCUUGCUCUGAUAGCUGUGUAAUAAUUUUUGUAUCCUUCCCAGUGGGUUCCCAGUCUUUUCAUCUGCUAGGACCAUCUGGUAACUCAUCACCAAACAUGGUGCCUGACAGCAUCACUGGUGCCCUGCAAAUGUCCACCUGAUAAAUGAGUGAAUUAAUGAAUGAAUAAGAAAAUGAAGGAUACUGGCUGCCCCUGGCCAACUAUAUCUUGGCUUUGGCUUGUCAUUCUAGAUUUGUGAUACUGGCUUCUAGCAGAAGCUUAAAGCCUCUUUUUUGUUCUUUUGUUCCUCUAAUGUACUCCCCCUGCCCCUCCACCAAGAUGGGAAGGAGGGCUGAUCUGAGCAUUCAGGUUUCAGAAUGCUAAUUGGAUAGCAGCCAAUUAGAAGUAGAUCCGUAAGGAUUUAAUUAGACUUUCUGGGUAGAUUUGGAUAUUGCUUUCAAAAUGAAAAGGCCCCAAAUCCAGGUUCCCCUGGAUUAUAAUAGUUUUAUGGCUCUGCCCUGCUUUAAUUUGAGGCUAGUUGGCAAUACCCUGUCCAGGAAAAAGGAAUCUUCCAUGUAGUCCUGUCUGUUCUACUGAGGUCUACAUUUGGGUUUUAGCAAACAAUUCAGCUAAUAUAUAUUAUUUUUCUUUGUUCUCAAGGAUUUAAUGGCAAGAUGCCAUUAUAGACAAGAACAGGAUUCAGACACUUUCGUGUUAUGUGUUCUUGUCCAAAUACUGUGUCACUCUGCACUGGCAUCCCAAUCCCACCAACACCUUUAGCAGGAACUUCCUGUUUCAAUAACAUUUCUCAAUACUCUACCUGAUUGCUUAGAAUCCAUGAGACAGCCAUAUUCUCCAUGUCUAGGUCCCUAUCUUAUUUUUGUUGAGAUGGUGUUAAGACUUUAUUUGUGAGGCUUCUGGGGAAGAGGAGUAAGGUAUUGAUCCCACUGACUGGAUAAUUUGGGUCUCAAAAUGGAUAAUAAAUAAGCAUUACAUAUUUUGACCACUUCCUUGGAGGAGAACUUCUUGGAAUGUGCACCAUGUCCGCUGCACUUUUUUUGCACAGAUAUCUAAGUUGGAGAAACAUACUACUAGAUAAAUCAAUUUGUUCUCUUAGUACUCAUGAUAUGGUUCCUGGGAACUUCUGAUUCACCAAAUUAAUCUUGGCCAGGUACAUACCUGGCAGGAAUCCAAAAAUUCCCCAAGUCUCCUUGAAGUUCAGGAUCAUCAUUCUUAAUAAAUACACCGAGGGAAAAACCAUGGAGAGUUUGUCCCAGAUGCUGUGAAUCUGGCCCGGGGUACAUGAAGAAGUCCUUAAUUGCAGUCAUUUACAUGGUAGAUUCUCUAUAAUCAUUUAAUUUGCUAUAGGUCUAUGAUUUUUAGUCCUUCUUCUCUAAAUGAUUGAACAUGUAUAAUUCCCAUUUCAAUCAUAUUACCUGGAUGAACAAAAGUAACGCUAGACUCAUUCAUGCAUUCUGGUUGCCAAGGAAAAGGAAAAAAAAAACAAAACAAUCAACAGGAUGUUUAAACUGUCUUAGGGCAACUUCAGGCCAUAGUCACUGGUGUUCUUGCAGACUAUGAGAUAUUUUACAUUCUGAUAAGGGAUAAAAAUUCGUGCCUCACAUGGCUCCCAUCACACUAAGAUCUUGCAACAAUAACACUACUGAUUCAGACAUUAAUCUUAAGUAUCCAGGGAGCCCUAAAACAUUGUAUCCCACUAGCAAGGACCAUGGUAAUUGCCACGUAAAUCCCCUCCAUUAUGUGGCCCUUAUUAUGACCAGCCAGCCAAGGCUUGCCUUUAAAUCAUACCAAUUGAACCGAGCCUUGUAGAAACACUAUCACCUACGCAUACCUCUGCUUCUUUUCAUUAACCUGCUAUCCUCUUUACAAAUGGGAUUCUUCACCCACUCCCUUCUUCUAGAUUAGCAAUGCCCUGUUAAGUAAACGAACACGAAAUUCAAAGGGAAACAGGAGCAAUCAUCAUUACCAGCUGCCGUGUUAAGCAUUGCGAAAACGCUCACGAUUCACAGAAAAAUCCAUGCUGUUCUUUGAAGGCAUUCAAGCCUUAAUAGCUAGCUGGAUGAAUGUUUAACUUCUAGGCCAGGCACUACUCUGUCCCAACAAUAAGCCCUGUACAUUGGGAAAGGUGCCGAGACAUGAACUUUGGUCUUCUCUGCAAUCCAUCUGGAGCAUUCACUGACAACAUCGACUUUGAAGUUGCACUGACCUGGCCAGCCCUGCCACUUACCAGGUUGGCUCUGUAUGGCUAAGCGUUUUCUCCUAAAAUCCCUUGAAAACUGUGAGAAGACCAUAAGAAGAUCAUAUCUUUAAUUCUAUUUCACAAGUCACACAAUAUUCCAAUCAAAUACAGAUGGUUGAGAAAAGUCAUCCAUCUUCCCUCCCCACCCUCCCACAGCCCCUCAACCACUGCCCUGAAACUUAUAUGCUGUUAUCCGCAGCUCCAUCUGGAGCAUCACAGCUACUGUCAACCCUGACGCUCUUUCUGAAAAAACACCGGAUGGACAUCAGAACUAUUUCUUUAAGGAUGUUACUGAGCCACACAGGAAAACUUGCCUUAUGAUUUUGAAUGCACGGAUCUGAUUUGACUAAACAUGAUAACUAGAGAAUCACCCAAUCUACUCCCAUUUUCAACUCUAAAUCAUCAGAGUGUCUCAAAUCCAAAGCACACACAGACCAGCCUGGCCAACACGGUGAAACUCCACCCCUACUAAAAGUAUAAAAAUUAUCCAGGUGUGGUGGCGGGCGCCUGUAAUCCAAGCUACUUGGGAGUCUGGAGGCAGGAGAAUCCCUUGAACCUGGGAGAUGGAGGUUGCAGUGAGCAGAGAUCACACCACCGCACUCUAGCCUGGGCCACAAAUCAACAACAACAACAACAACAAAAAACAAAGCGCACACAGAGACUGAGGUCCUCUUUGGCAUUGAGAAGAUGGCUAUGCAAGUCCCAACUAGCAAGUGCAAACUUCCCAGCUUCACUUCUGCCAGUGUCCCUUCACCCCUUCUCAACCCCACUGGGAGGCAGGAGGGUGCUUGACAAUAACAGCCUUGGCAUCACUCUGCCAGGGUGUAAUAGGAACUGUUACAAUUCUGAGAUUCUGUGUAAGCACUGGCCUUUCUGCCUAGAAUGCCUUCUCCUCUCUUUUUUAACUGCAUGCUCCUAUUUAUCUUUCAAAGCCCGGAAAAAAUAACACUGCACACGGGAAAUGCUCCCUUCCUACUGCAGUCAUUUAGAUGACUCUAUGCCAUUCCAUUCAUUUCUCUUUCCUACCACAGAAGUGCUUUGAGAUUUUGGAGUCAGACUGCUUGAACUUGAAUCCUGGCCCUCUCAUCAGAGACUUGACUUAUUUUAGGCAAGUUAUAUAACCAAUUUUACCUCAGUUCCUUACCCAUAAAAUGGGUCUAAUGAGAGUACCUACCACACAGAAUUUUGAUGAAAACUGAAUGAGAUGAAGGCCUUUAAGGCAGUGGUCCCCAACCCUGGGGACACAGACAGGUACCAUUUUGUGGCCUGUUAGGAACUGGGCCACACAGCAGGAGGUGAGCAGUGGGUGAGUGAGAUCAGCGUUAUUUACAGCUGCUCCCCAUUGCUCACCUUACUGCCUGAGCUCCACCUCCUGUCAGAUCAGCAGUGGCAUUAAAUUCUCAUAGCAGCACAAACCCUGUCAUGAACUGCACAUGCGAGGGAUCUAGGUUGUGCGCUCCUUAUGAGAAUCUAAUGCCUAAUGACCUGUCACCGUCUCCCAUCACCCCUAGAUGGGAGUGUCUAGUUGCAGGAAACAAGCUCAGGGCUUCCACUGAUUCUACAUUAUGGUGAGUUGUAUAAUUAUUUCAUUAUAUAAUACAAUGUAAUAAUAAUAGAAACACAGUGCACAACAAAUGUAAUGUGCUUGAAUCAUCCCCAAACCAUCCCAGUCCACGGUCUUCCACAUUUUGUCUUUUCACAAAAUUGUCUUCCACAAAACUGGUCCCUGGUGCCAAAAAGGCUUGGGACCACUGCUUUAAAGCCUUUGCAUAGUGCUUAGAAUUGAGGGGGAAAAAAAAAACAAAAACAAUGUAGCUAGUUGCUACAAUCACUAUAUUGGUGAGUUUCAAAAGGAAAAGAAUUCUGUCCCAUUUAUGCUUGAGCCUUGAGUUGCUAACCAAGCCUGACACAAAAUUACUGUUGAAGGGAUGUGUGAGUCCUAAUUGAAAUGAGGCCUCUUAAGGGAAUUGUGGACCAAACCCCAAGCAGGCAGAAAGCCGUAUCUUAAUUAUUGCAAGUAUUUCAGGCAAGGUGUGGAUGGCCAUUUGAAUUCAAGCAGACUAGGACCUGGGAUGAGAAAGAAGGUGUGUACGUGACUUGAUCUUUGAACUUUAGCUCACCAUCUGGAAGAAGGCUGAGUAUUCUCUGCACUCACAUAGUAGCUAAUGCCUACUCCCCAGCCACCCACAAUUCUUUCUGUAGGAAGGCUCGCUAGAAUACUUUGUGAUAUUGGAUAUUAGUUCCAUAUUCUACUGUGUAUCUUAGUUCAACCAAAUUGUAAUCAUCUGAUAUUUAUUUCUUUUAAUAUAAAUAUAAGUAUAUUAAGUCUUGGCAUGCUUGCUCAGUCUCUCUCUCUCUCCCAUUCCUCCCCGCUCCCCUCUCUCUUUCCCAACAGGCUUGGAAAGCAGGCAUCACCAUGCCUAUUUAACAGUUGGGGUCCCUUGGCCACCAGGUGCUGGAGUAGGAAUCUGAGCCCGGACAUGCCUGAUCUGUAAAUUUUGUGUUUUCCCCACUGUGCUGGGCAGAUCACAGCUAUCAGCGCCAAAUUCAUAGAAGGGGCGCCCCCUGUGGUCAAUUGAGGGAUUUGUGUUUGAGGUAGAUCUCAAGAAGGAAUGGGUGGGGAACUUAGCCUAGGACAGAGCAGAAAGGAGCCCUCACUCCCCAAGCACCAACGGCCUCAGUCCUUCCUGCUGACUCCAGCCUCUAGCUCUCACCCAGACUAUCUGCAUCCUUCUCUCCACCACGCUCCUUUGGAACCUGCGUAAAACACAGAUUAAAGGAAUUCCGCCUUACUUCCCUUUCCGCAUUAUGACCAAAUGGUUUUACACUAUCAUUGAACAGUUUAGUACAAAACAUGCCACCUUUUAAUCUAUUCAUUCAUUUAACAAAUACUUUGGAGUGUUUACCAUGUGCCAAGUGCUGUUCUAAUAGACAUAAGCUGUGAGGUUAUGCUUAUCUGAUUCUCACAGCAACAGCUUUCGAGAUAUGAAUUGGUAUACUCAUUUGACAGAUGAGGAAAUUGAAUUCAUGUAGUGAGAAAGGAAGAGCUGCAAUUCAGGGUUACUGGUUUCUCCUGCACUAAGCACUGAGCCACACUAGAAGAGAAGGCAUGAGGAAGACAAAAGUGAGAAGGUACGAGAGAAGAUAUUAAGUAGAGGUCUAUUAGUUCCUCUUAAAACUAUUUAUGAAAGAGGCGGAUGGGGUAGUGGAUGGGAAAGACAGAUGGAUUCAUGUUCUUCACUCCAGGUUUCCCCCCAUUCCCUUCCCUUUUAAAUGCCUGCUCAUUUUUUGGCUACCUUUCAAGCUCUAGGAAAUACUCUGGAAUUCCAGGCUGGGAGGGGUUUCCUUUGCAGAUCUGGCUAUUGUAACUUUACAAGAAAUUGCUCAAUACUUCCUCUCACCAGUUACAAACCACGGUUUUCUGAAUGAACUUUAUGUUCAUUAAACAGUUAACCCUUCAGCUUUCUGACUCACAUUUUUCAUGUUAUUAAUCAGCUCUUAGAGUAAGGUAAAAUCUAGAACAGACUUUAUAUACACCCUCCCUCCCACACACAUAUACAUACAUAAUACAAACACAGACCACACAUGUCCACAUCCUUAUGCGCAAACACUAAGAAACACACGCAUACACAAACAUACAUGUACACAAAAUUAAAUACAUAGCUAUGGCACUUUCACUAUACAUGUAAACACCCUUACACACAUACAAAUGUACAUGCGCGUGUGCGCACACACAUAUGGAAUUAGCUUUUUCUCUUUGUGGGAGGAGGGAAAUGAAAAGACCCAAAACAUUCAGAUUCCCAAAUGGACACGUAAGAACCCCGUCAUGGAAAUAGGUCUGGGUUUUUUUCUCUUUUGAGGGAAGCAGGGCGUUUCUGGUUACUGUCGCCAUUGCCAUUGUGCCCCUGCUUACCAUCCCCCUGCACCGCCCCCCCGGCCCCCGCCCGCCACUGCUAGGGUUUACAGGUCAUCCCUGGAUUAAAUAAGUGAUAUUGUGUUUUUUUUUCUUUGACACAAAGUAAAAUUAUAAUUAAUAUUGAAUAAAGUAAAAAUGAACUCCUGAGUUCCAGUCCCUUAUGUAACACACCUGGUUUGUGGCAGGCACUCAGGAAAUAUUAGUUGCAUGAACGAAGGCUGCAUUUUCAUUAGAACAACAUGCAGUUCAACCCCUUCAUGUUUCAAUGAGGGUUCAGAUACCCAGAGGGCUAUGCUAUCAUCCUGGAGCCCACUCUGCUAACAAUUAGCAGAACGGAAGCCUUAAUUUCCAGAUUCUAGUGAACUUGAUGAGUCAAGACUAUUGCAAUUGGAAAUCUGUUCUCCUCUGCUGCUGCAUUCCCUGCUUAAUACUCAAGCCAGAAACCAGGAAGGCUGUGGCUUGCCUUUUCACUUCUUGUGUCCUGUUUAAGAAAUAUCUGCUAUCCCAAGAUAACACUAACAAAGUUGACCUUAGAAUUGGAGUGCCUGGGUUAGAACCCUGCUGGUACCACCUGCUUACUGCAUGCUUCUGAUGUGAGUUCAGGAGAAGACACUGGCAAGGACAGCAAAGAACAGGAGAACACUCUAGCUUCCCUGAUAGCAUUCAAGGUGCUGUCCAAACUGACUGUGAUGGCACCCUCCAGACAGACAGCGAUGCCACAUGUUCAAGAUGGCAGAAUCACUAUCAGCUUCAAUUCCUGAAUGACUGCAGAGCAAAAUUUCUUACCUGCAACAUACACUCUAUUUUCAGCCUCCCUGGACUGUUACAUAAUGAUACAUAAAAAUAUUUCUUGUGUUGAGGCAUCCCAAAUUUGAUUUAUUUGUCAUCACAGUCUAUCCUAUGAAUAUAUUUCUGAUCCAAAUAAUGCUAGAUUCAUGAGAGUUUAUAGUCCAGAGAUUUUUUUUUUUUUUUUGAGACAGAAUCUGUCUCCCAGGCUGGGGUGCAGUGGCAUAAUCUUAGCUCACUGCAACCUCUGCCUCCCGGGCUCAAGUGAUCCUCCCUCCUUAGCCUCCAUGAGUAGCUGGGACCACAGGUGUGCACCACCACACCCCGCUAAUUAUUUUGUAUUUUUUGCAGAGGGGGGUUUCACCACAUUGCCCAAGCUGGUCUCAAACUCCUAGACUUAAGGGAUCUGCCUGCCUUGGCCUCCCAAAAUGCUGAAAUUACACUUGUUAGCCAUAGUAAUAGUUCCUAGCCAUAGUCCGGAGAUAUUUUAAAAACUUUAGUGUGAGUUAUUUCUCUUUGCUAUAAUUCUCUCAUGCAUUUUGAAAACCUUUUCUGCCAUACAGUGGUUUUUGGGAAGUCCUUUUGGACAGACAUAUCACAGGAUGGAGAAACUAAAAAGAGAGAAUGCAUUAAAGAAAAAAUAGUACUUCGUAUUUCAGAAAUUACAAAAGGGUGUCAUGCCCCACAGCAUGGUGGGCAGUCAUUUGUAACCCACAGAACAUUGAGUUUCUAAAAUUUGAGUGUUUUUAACUUACGAAGGCCAACUUUACUGAUGAAGUGAUUACCCCAAAUAUGUGAAAUCCAUAUUUCAAGUACAAUAGUAGGAAAUUGGAAAUGGGCUCUUGAGUUUCUGCUUUCAAGUGACCCUCAGAAAUUCCUCCAUUCACUGCAGAGGUUCUGUUUCUCCUUGCUUUGUUCUGACUUUACGGCAGAACUAAGCUAAUGAGUUAGUUACUAUGGGUUAUCACUUGGAUUUGAAGAACCAUCAUUUCUAGGCAUUGCUGCUCAGAGUGGGUCUGCCCUCAGGGGAAGCUGUCUAACCAGAGCCUAACCCACUAGGGUUUUAUCAGAACCUAACUGACCUGAGGAAAAGAAAUACUCAACUCCAGCAAGCUCCAGCCUUCCAAAUGGAGGAGGAGAAAACCCAACUCCAGCCCACUUCAGCUAUCUUGUCCCACAUAAAGGGGAAGUGGAAGAAACCUGAGAAGCAGGCAUGAAGUUCACAGUCCAGAGACCUUGCCAUCGUAUCCCCUUUUGGAGACACAAGCCAGGAAGGAAGCUCUUCAGUGCAGCUGUGAAUAGAGAAAUGCUGGCUGAGGUUUUGGAGACACUGGGUGAUCAUUCCCAGUGAAAUUUUUAGAUCCCUGGGGACAUGAGCUGCUUUGUCUUUUCCAAGGUCAGGAUAAACAGAAUAACUUCAGGCUUCUCUACCCAGAAAGAACAUGUGGCAUAAAUAUCAACUGCAGAAUAAAUAUGAUUAAUCUGGUACAUGGACGAAGAUGUUUUCUAGGAGAUGCUUAUCCUGGGAUGAGAGCUUUCAUAAGCAUUGAUAUUUACAUGACUCUUACCGUGUGUCAGGAACUGUUCUAAUUGUUUUACCUAUGUCAAUUCAUUUGAUAGUCACAACCACUGAAAGGAGUAAGUACUCUUAUUACUUCCAUUUUACAGAUAGGGAAACUGAGGUAUAGAGAAGUCAAGUGACUUGCCCGAGGUUAUUAAACUACUUAAUGUCAACACCAGGAUUUGAACCCAGAUCAUUUGUUUCUGAAGUACAUGCUCACAAUCACUGCAUUACUGAUACACUGUUUUGUCUUUGCAUACUUAAGUGGUCAUAACUUAGUCUGAAACACUUUGUGAGAGCAGGAAGCAAACUGUCCCCUUAUUAGGUGGACCAGUAUAGUGAUAAUACAAAAGUGUAUUGCAUUUGAAUUACUUGCUAAUAUCUUCUAAUUGAGGCAAUUUUGAACAGGAAUAUACAUAUCUAGCCUCUAUUUUUCUAGCUAGAAGUUCUGAAAUCCCUGGGCUUAAUAUUGUAUGGCAACAAUUGGCUGGAGUUGAGUUGCUGCCACUCUCUUUUAACUGAGCCAUGCUCUCUCUAGUUUGCUACAGGCCCCACCACUCCCUAUUGCCUCUCCAAUACCAGGUCAUUUGGCAUCUUACUCAGCUCAUUUCAUGCACAUGUGUUCCACAAUUGGUAACAUAACCCUAAAAGUAUUUGAGUUUGUGGCUUCUGCUCUUGUGACAGAAGACUUUUCUCGAAUUCCAAGGUCAACAUAUACCAUAUUGACUCUGGGCCACAUUUUUUAAUGUGCUCAAGCUCAGUUUUUCUCCUUAAAAAAUGAGGGGUUAAAAAUAACACUUCGUAGUUGCCUCAUCUGUGGAUUGGAAGAAUGAAUGCCUGUCAUUUCUAGAGUUGUAGUAAGGGCCAGUUGGGGCAGUGCCUGUGAAUAUACGCAAUGGGCCAUCAAGCAAUCUCAGGGCUUCAGGCAAUGCUGGGGUUUAUAAAGCACUUUAUGUUUUAAGUUCACUUUUAUUUCUAAAGUCUCAUUGACUGCUCUGAAAAUCUCUCAAGUAAAGUGGGCACUAAAGGCUUUAUACUCUCUCCAAUUAUACCUUCCAUUGUAUAGAUUUGGAAGCUGGGGUCCAAAUGUGUUAAAUGACUUGCCUAACAUGGUCCAUUACUGUAAGUACAGAAACGGAAUGAGACCCCAAAUCUGCUUCAUGGAGGGACACUCUUCUAAGAUACUGUGAUGCUUCUUCCCAAGUAAUUCCGUCUUCAGACUUCAAGGUCUCAAUUCGAAUGACAAUUCAAUAUAGGACUUUCAUAAUCUUAAAAGCAACCUGACAGUCAUUACAGUGGGCUGUGAGAAAUACUAACGCAGAGCCACAUACUCUGGGCUUCAUGCUAGGUUUUGCCACUCACUAUCUUUGUGACAUUGGGCCAGUGACUCAACCCAUUAAACCUCAGUUUCUUCACUUAUACAAUAGGGAUAAUGUCAUCUGUUCAGACUACCUUACAAAUUUGCUGUGAGACUCCAUUGAGAUGAUGUCAGUGAAAGCAUGAUGUCACUAUACAUUAAUAUCAGAAUGUGUAUGUCUCUUAGCCUCCUGACUAAAGACUGAGCUUCAGGAGGGUAUGUUGUAGACUGUCUUCUCUAUUCCAGGUGCUUUUGUACUUCUCACAUAAGGAUGCGUGAAAUGCCUAAACAAUAAGACCUUAGCCAUCAGGUGGUUCCAGCCAGGGAAGCAGGAGAUGGAGCCAUGAAAUGAUUCUUUUUUGGGGAUUGCUGUCAAAAAAUGAGGAAUGAUACUCGAGUUGAGGUCUGUUUGCUUUCUACCUGUGCAGGUAUCAGCCUAUGAGAUUCCAAGACAUUCUUGAUCACUAGUCAGCAGUUCACACUGUCAAAAUUCAAAAAUUACUGUUAGGGUAAAGGAACGUUGGAGUUUAAGUCAGAAGAUGUAGCUUUAAAUUUUGAUUCAGUUCUUUAGAAACUGUGUGUCCCUCUCUGGACCUCAACUGGGCUGUCAUAAUUAAAGGCGUUCUUAGACAUAGCAAGAAUUUAUAUUGGUUCUCUUCCUUCUUAUAAGCUUUAUUACAAACACGCAAAUUUUCACUGGAAGCUUGUACUAGGUUUGUAUUGUAUUUGCCUUUUUCUUAUUUUUUUCUCUCUCUUUCUUCCUGUUUUUAAAUCCACUUGUGAGCCAAGUUGGCUCUUAUUCAUUUUAUCCCGAGUUACCAAACACCCUACCCAAAUUGAGAGCAUUUCUUCUCCUCAGGCUGAAAAUACUCAGUGAGUAAACCCAAGGUCUUUAAUAGCAAGACAAUCAGAUCUGCUUAAUGUAAUUUGGUUUCUGCCUCGGAAUUAAUGUCGCAAGAAGUAUUUGAAUGAGGUUUGCUGUCUUUUUUUCUUACAGAAUUGUAGACUGGAUCUCACAAAAAUUCUGGUCAAACUAACAAAUGAUUCACUGAAGAAUGGGGGCAGAAAAAAAAAGCUGGCUGCUUGUUCCCUCUUUCUAGUUAAUGAAUCGAAUUGAUACAGGAACUUCAUCGUGUUCUCAGGGAAAUCCUGUUGGCUGGGGCUCACUCUUCAGCACCGCUAAAUUUAGGUCACGGCUCAGUGAAGAACAAUUACAGAUUCUUAAUAAAAGAUAAUUUACCCAGUGACAUCCAACAGGACAUCUGGGCAGGCGUUCUCAUUUUCUUGUUAAUGUUGUAGAGGUGGGGAGCGUGGAGUAGGGAUGAAUGUUGACAGAAAGUCAUUUUCUGACCUGCUUUGUGGCAUAUGUCAGUCCAUGCUCUUCCAGCAACUGAAAGCUGAACCUAAUGGGACCCCCACAAAAUGGUUUUCUAAAUUGGGCCAGGACAAAAAAAUGCUAAGAAGCUUAGUAGUGGGAAGGCAGAAUUCAUAAGUCCUGCAUUUGAAACCUGGUUGCUCAUGCCUUCUCUGGAUUAAUCUUUUUCUACCUUACCUUCUGCUCUCUACUAACUGCUCUCUCUACUCUUUAGCCAUGCUGAAUUAUUUUAUGGCUCUUCACAAACUGUGAUUUAUCUGUCCCACCUCCUGCCACCCUCCCUUUUUUUUUUUUUUUUUUUUUUUUUUUUUUUUAGACAGGGUCUUGCUCUUUUGCCCAGGUUGGAGUGCAGUGGUGCAAUUUUGGCUCAUUACAACCUAUUCCUGCCAGGCUCAAGUCAUUCUCUUACCUCAGCCUCCAGAGUACCUGGGUUCACAGGUGUCUGCCAUCACCCCUGGCUAGUUUUUGUAUUUUUUGUAGAGACAAGGUUUUACCAUUUUGGCUAGGCUGGUCUCAAACUCUUGAAUUCAAGCAAUCUGCCUGCCUUGGCCUCCCAAAGUGUUGGGAUUACAGGUGUGAGCCACCAUGCCUGGAUUCUCCACCUUUUUUGUCUUUGACCACCCUGUUCCUCUAGGUUGAUAUGCUUCCCCCUCCCUUUUGAAUGACUUAUUUUUGCUUUAAAACCUAUUUCCAUUGUCGUCUCUUCCAGGAAGCUUUCUGUGACCCUUGAAGGCAAAGUGUGAAGACUUUCUCUAACUCUUUGCUUGUUUUCUUCAUUAGAUUGAGCUCUGCCAAGUACAGACUGUGUCAUAGUGUUCUCAGUGUCCCAGGAGUAACCUACUCCAUUCAAAUCAGUUUUCUUAAAGUCCUAAUGGCCCCACUGUUGCCAAACACAACAGACAUUUCACAGUCCUUAUAUAUUUUCCCUUUUAAUGGAAUAUUACACUGUUUACAAGUUCCUCCUUCUUGAUGCCUUCUACUGUGGAUUGAAUUGUGCCCUCAAAAAUACGUGAAGGGCCGGGCGCGGUGGCUCACGCCUGU